rnacentral:misc_RNA from 1 species
UUGUACUUUGUGUCAGAAUAAAAAAAAACAUAUCUUUUUGAAGGGACCCGAAAAUUUCGUAGAGUAAAAAUGAAGCUGUGUUUCUUACUGGUCCUUUCUCUCUUUGGUCUUUUGGCUCAUGCAGCAGCAUUGCCGGUAUCUCAAGCUCCAGUGGAUGUGGCAAUGGUCACCGGACCCGAAAUGGAUAUUCCAGAUAUUGAUUUUUGGAGCAGGACUUAAAAGGAUAUUUUAGACUGCCUUCUCCGCACGGUUUUUCUUCCCAGUUCGCUGCAUACAUAUUUGGAACAGAAUUUUUAAUUAAAGCAAACAAUAUGUUACCCAAA